GGUGCCGUAGCCGUAAGACCGUUCGAAGAAGGGGCGUGGAGGCAUGGGCGGUGGCGGAGAGGAAUAGUAGUGGCUGGAGAAAUAGGGAGAGUAAGCGUCCGGGAUGGAGGAGUACGACGGUGGAGGAGGAGGAGAGGCUGACGGUUGAGGUGGCGGCGGGGGAGGAGGAGGAGAGGCUGCCUGUGGAGGAGGCGGCGGGGGAAGAGAAACGUAGGGCGAGUACCUUGGUGGAGGAGGGGUAUUUGUGUAAUAAUAGCUAGGAGGGGCAAAAUGGUAAUCGUGAGGUGGAGCAAGUGGACGUUCGCGGAUGCCGAGUUUCACCCGAAUCUUGCCUUGG
rnacentral:lncRNA from 1 species